ACGGCUGUAUCACAGGGAAACACCAGUUCCCGUACGAUCAGCGAAGUUAAGCAACAUCAAGCCUGCUCAAUAUCUAGAUGGGUGAUCAUUUGGAAUGACAUGUGCUGUAAG